UGGUCAAGUUAUUAAGGGUGCAGGGCGGAUGCCUUGGCACUAGGAGCCGAUGAAGGACGUGAUAAGCUGCGAUAAGCUUCGGGGAGUUGCACGUAAACUUUGAUCCGAAGAUUUCCGAAUGAGGAAACUCACUUAGAGUAAUGUCUAAGUAUCAUUAAGUGAAUACAUAGCUUAAUGAGGGGAACUCAGGGAACUGAAACAUCUAAGUACCUGAAGGAAGAGAAAGAAAUUCGAUUCCGUAAGUAGCGGCGAGCGAACGCGGAUUAGCCCAAACCAAUAAAGUUUUCUUUAUUGGGGUUGCGGACAUAUCAUAACGAAGAGGUAUCGUAAUUGAAGAGGUUUGGAAAGACCCACCACAGAAGGUAAUAGUCCUGUAUGUUAAACGAGAAGACUUUAGAUAUGAUCCAGAGUACCACGGGACACGUGAAACCCUGUGGGAAGCAGGAGGGACCACCCUCCAAGGCUAAAUACUACCUAGUGACCGAUAGCGUAUAGUACCGUGAGGGAAAGGUGAAAAGAACCCCGGGAGGGGAGUGAAAUAGAACCUGAAACCCUGCACUUACAAGCUGUGGAAGCACAUUUCUUGUGUGACCGCGUACUUUUUGUAGAACGGGCCAACGAGUUACGUUAAGUAGCAAGGUUAAGCACUUAAGGUGCGGAGCCGUAGCGAAAGCGAGUUUUAACUGAGCGUUCAGUUACUUGACGUAGACCCGAAACCGGGCGACCUACCCAUGAGCAGGAUGAAGCGAAAGUAAAAUUUCGUGGAGGUCCGAACCCACGAGCGUUGAAAAGCUCGGGGAUGACUUGUGGGUAGCGGUGAAAUUCCAAUCGAGCCCGGAGAUAGCUGGUUCUCCCCGAAAUAGCUUUAGGGCUAGCCUCAAGGUGAGAGAUACGGAGGUAGAGCACUGAAUGUCCUAGGGGGUAUUGCACCUACCGAAGACUAUCAAACUCCGAAUGCCGUCAUCUUAUACUUGGGAGUCAGACUGUGGGUGAUAAGAUUCAUAGUCGAAAGGGCAACAGCCCAGAUCGUCAGCUAAGGUCCCUAAAUGUAAGUUAAGUGGUAAAGGAUGUGGGAUUGCACAGACAACCAGGAUGUUGGCUUAGAAGCAGCCACUCAUUCAAAGAGUGCGUAAUAGCUCACUGGUCGAGUGAUCCUGCGCCGAAGAUUUCCGGGGCUAAAACUUACUACCGAAGCUACGGCAUCAUUAUGAUGGGUAGGGGAGCUUCCCAUACGGGUUGAAGCAUGACCGUAAGGACAUGUGGACAGUAUGGGAGUGAGAAUGUUGGCAUGAGUAGCGAGAUGUGGGUGAGAAUCCCACAGGCCGUAAACCCAAGGUUUCCAGGGGAAGGUUCGUCCGCCCUGGGUUAGUCGGGACCUAAGCUGAGGCCGAAAGGCGUAGGUGAUGGACAACAGGUUGAUAUUCCUGUACUACCGAUAACCGUUUGAGAGAAGGGAUGACACAGUAGGAUAAGCUAAGCACACUGUUGGUUAUGUGUGCCCAAGCAUUGAGGCAGUCAAAGUAGGCAAAUCCGCUUUGAUAAUGCUGGGAUGUGAUGGGGAGCGAAAUUUAGUAGCGAAGUAGCUGAUUUCACACUGUCAAGAAAAGUCUCUAUCGAGGUUAAAGGUACCCGUACCGCAAACCGACACAGGUGGGUGAGGAGAGUAUCCUAAGGCCAGCGAGAGAACUGUUGUUAAGGAACUCGGCAAAAUGACCCCGUAACUUAGGGAUAAGGGGUGCCACCAUCAGGUGGCCGCAGAGAAUAGGCCCAAGCGACUGUUUACCAAAAACAUAGGUUUCUGCUAAGUCGCAAGACGAUGUAUAGGAGCUGACGCCUGCCCGGUGCUGGAAGGUUAAGGGGAUCUGUUAGAGCAAUCGAAGCAGUGAACUUAAGCCCCAGUAAACGGCGGCCGUAACUAUAACGGUCCUAAGGUAGCGAAAUUCCUUGUCGGGUAAGUUCCGACCCGCACGAAAGGCGUAACGAUUUGGGCACUGUCUCAACAACAGACUCGGUGAAAUUGUAAUUCCGGUGAAGAUGCCGGAUACCUGCGACAGGACGGAAAGACCCCAUGGAGCUUUACUGUAGCUUGACAUUGGGUCUUGGUACUACAUGUACAGGAUAGGUGGGAGGCUUUGAAACCAGGACGCCAGUUUUGGCGGAGCCAUCCUUGGGAUACCACCCUUGUAGUACUGGGACUCUAACCAUAGGCCAUGAAUCUGGUCUUGGGACACUGUCAGGUGGGCAGUUUGACUGGGGCGGUCGCCUCCCAAAAGGUAACGGAGGCGCUCAAAGGUUCUCUCAGUACGGUCGGAAAUCGUACGUAGAGUGUAAAGGCAAAAGAGAGCUUGAUUGCAAGACAUACAGGUCGAGCAAGGAUGAAAAUCGGACUUAGUGAUCCGGUGGUUCUGCGUGGAAGGGCCAUCGCUCAACGGAUAAAAGCUACCCUGGGGAUAACAGGCUUAUCUCCCCAAGAGUCCACAUCGACGGGGAGGUUUGGCACCUCGAUGUCGGCUCAUCACAUCCUGGGGCUGUAGUAGGUCCCAAGGGUUGGGCUGUUCGCCCAUUAAAGUGGUACGCGAGCUGGGUUCAGAACGUCGUGAGACAGUUCGGUCCCUAUCCGUCGCAGGCGUAGGAAAUUUGAGAAGACCUGUCCUUAGUACGAGAGGACCGGGAUGGACGUACCUCUGGUGUACCAGUUGUCCUGCCAAGGGCAUGGCUGGGUAGCUAUGUACGGAAUGGAUAAGCGCUGAAAGCAUCUAAGCGCGAAGCCAACUUCAAGAUAAGAUUUCCCACCGCAAGGGUAAGACCCCAGAAAGACUAUCUGGUUGAUAGGUCGAAGGUGUAAGUGCAGCAAUGUAUUUAGCUUAUCGAUACUAAUAGGUCGAGGACUUGACCAAU
rnacentral:rRNA from 1 species